rnacentral:misc_RNA from 1 species
UGGACGUUAACUGAACAUAACAUUUAUUUACAUAAAAAUGUUUGAAACACAUAUGUUAUAGUUAUUAUUAACUUUGUAAAAAAAGAUGGAUAAUUCAAUAUACAUUACAAUAUUAUUUGGAAUAGUGCUGCAUGUAACUGUAGAUGGAUGUCUUCUGCCUUUAAGCAGUGGAACCUGGAUAUCAAGCACACGCGGUACAUGGACAGUGACAGUGUCGGAUAAUGGAACGCACUCAACCAUAGCAAACUUCGAGGCUGACCUAACCGGGGCAUCAACCACAGCCACGCUUGAAUGUAAAAGUAGUUCAGGAACACAGUAUAUCCUUGGAGCAACAUUUGAGAUUUUCUUUACUGUAUUUAUUGAUGUGUAUAUAUGUAUUGACAUACGUACCACGUCUGUGUCUCCUAACAGUUACGUCUACUAUAUUGUCACACCAACUGAUGCUAGUACGGGUGAGCAGUUUACAAAUGAUAUAAGUAGUGCAUGUACAAAUUCCAACUACGAAACGGCUGUCAAUAAACACGUGAUACUCAGAAGUGGUUCGGAGACAUCUGCUGCAGUUAACUAUCCCGAUGUUAUACUAGGAAAAUACACCGUUGAUUACUACGACAUUGACGGCAACUCCAUAAUGGGAUCAGAUAUGAACUCUUGCAAUAACUCAACUCUUAUGGAAUUCAAUAACGUGGACUCGAACACAAAACUAGCUUUCACAAGUGGUAAUGUUCUACAGGCCGUACAUUCUGUGACGUCAGGAUCAAGUGUUUACGUACACACAUACAACCGCGACACAAAUGUUACAAAUCCCACAACCUACAACAUCGCUUGCUGGGUUAUAGUUAAUUCUGGUAGUCCAGUGACAGCAACUGUUUACCCCAAUGAGUGCAUUCAAGGUCAAACUUCAACUUCUGUUGCUUACGGGGGACAAAAGUUUGUUUUUACCCUUCGUUAUACCUGUCCCUUGAACGAGACCCCAACCGGGACGUCAGGACUCGCUGGUUGGCAGAUAGCCCUCAUUGUGCUUGGCAUCCUCGCUUUCAUCUUUAUUGUCAUCAUUUUCAUACUGUAUAAUAUACAUGAGAAAACAAAGGCACGUCAAGGACAGUGACCCAGAGAAAAACACACUAAAAGGUAGAAUCUGGUGUAUUGGAACUUGAAUAUUAUCAUCACCAGAGUUUUACAAAUGUAAAUGAAAGAUGAAAAAGGAAACAAAACUUCUAGUCUGCAUCAAUGGAAUUGUCAAUAUAUGUUAAAAAGGAUUGCUGGGUGAUUGGCAUGCAAGACAUAAUUGACGUAUUAUAUUUUCCAAAAGCUGUACGACAUAAUAUUUGAGAAGUGGAGAACAUCCUCAAACGAUAUUGCCCCAAGACAAGGAUUUCAACGCUAAACUAGGUCUCCGUACCAAACACGACUAUGUCGGUUGCUGUUUGAAGGGUCACGUGUUUAUCACAAUUGCUCGGGAAAAAAUGAGAAAUUACUGUAUCGCGCCGACGAAAUGUUCUUAUUAAGGGGUUUUAGAUGUGCGCAGGGAAGGAACAAGAGUGACUGCAACCGAAUUAUAAUUACCACGUAGCAGAAUGGGACAUCGAUUGAAUCUACACUAGAAAACGGUCUCACUUGAUAAGUGAUUUUAACCCCCAGAUGUUGCCAAAAGAACGAAUGGCGAUUUGUUUCCAUGGAACUCAAACUAUUUUACUGUAUUUUUGUGAAUACAAUACACAAUAUGUUAAAUAGUUUACAAAAACCAUGUAAGUUUAGUUUGAAAAAUCAUAAAAAAUA